rnacentral:lncRNA from 1 species
AGGGUUUGUUUUGGAAAUUAUGCGCAUGCGUAUAGUUUUCUUGACUUCAAGGGGUUUUAGAUUGAAUGGUUGCUGUGGAUUCUCCACUCAAUUAAUUAAUUUAUAACUCAUGGGAUCUUUUCUAUGUAUUUCUACUAUUGAAGGUUAUUGUUGUUGCAUAAUUUUAAAUCAUAUGCAUCAUUUGAAUUAAAAUAAAUGUUGUCCUCAUCGUAGAACACCCCUUCAGACGAAAUGGAGUCUUCCAUAUUAUCGUUUCGAGUUGUCUCCCUUCCGGAAGUAACUUCCGUGAAUUCUAAAUCAAAACAACACGUCGUGUAUUAGCUCGUUCUGUCAAUAAACGUCGUAUUAAAAACGAUCGCAUUUUAAACCGAUAAAAGUGUACGGAAAGGAGUCAUGAUCACUGACCCAAAGGAAAUUAAAUAUUUAAAGAGUUAAGAAUGGGGUUCCUCCUAGAAUUAAUGUAGGAAAAUAGGCGAUAAGAUACGAAGUGAAAUACCUUCUCUCAGUCUGAGCACAUCGAAGAGAGAAGCGAGAGAAGCUUUACUGUGAUAGUCAACUUUGGUAUAUUUUUACCCCCUUAUUGAUAGGAUUUCAAACUCCUGUGGUCUGAGCACAGGCAAUUGAUUCUAUCCAUUGGAAGACCCA